UACGUAGGUGGCGAGCGUUGUCCGGAUUUACUGGGCGUAAAGGGAGCGUAGGCGGACUUUUAAGUGAGAUGUGAAAUACUCGGGCUCAACUUGAGUGCUGCAUUUCAAACUGGAAGUCUAGAGUGCAGGAGAGGAGAAUGGAAUUCCUAGUGUAGCGGUGAAGUGCGUAGAGAUUAGGAAGAACACCAGUGGCGAAAGCGGCUCUCUGGUCUGUAACUGACGCUGAGGUUCGAAAGCGUGGGUAGCAAACAGG
rnacentral:rRNA from 1 species